ACGAUAAUUUAUGCCAAACAGACAACAUACAGCAUCAAUAUCCCGGUUAUUCAAUCCAUAAUCAAUAAAACAGUAAAAUAUGCACACGAAACUAUAAAAUGAAAACAUCGAACCUCAUGCCACAUUUAAAACUGUAAAACAGGCCAAAUAGCAGUUAACCGACAAACACACUAGACUCGGGCUCCAUUAGCGACCUUAAGCAAUUU
rnacentral:lncRNA from 1 species